AGUAGUGUGUCCCUGCUGACACCACUGGAUGAGCAAUGAUUUUGUGGAAUCCAUUCCUGGGAAAUUUUUCUCUAACGUCCUCCAACAGGAAGGAACAAAGCUACUGGACACAAAAAACCCCAUGAGCCAUCCAAUACCAUGCAGCAAAUGCUGAAGGAAAUGCUGCAGGGAGCACAAGCUAAGCCCCUUGGUGAAGGUGAUCUAGCUUCCCUACUCACAUCCAGGACUGAGCCUCACGGAGAUGGCGAGGGUGUGUCUGCAGGGAGGAUUUUCCCAGACACUUUUCAGGAUGCUGCACACAAGCCUAGCUCCCAUCACAGGGGUCCUCCAACAGGAAGGAACAAAGCUACUGGAUACAAGAAACCUCGUGAACCAUCUAAUACCAUGCAGCAAAUGCUGAAGGAAAUGCAGCAGGGAGGACAAGAGAAGGACCAGAAAGCUGUGCUGAAGGCGGUGUUUCCCAGAGAAAACAGUGGCUCAUGGUCAGCGUCUGCUGCAGGAAGGGAGGCCAUGCCAGGCACAGUCUCAGAGGAUUGGGAUCGUGACAUGGAGUACAUGGAAAUGCUGGUCAGUGGUGGUUUGAAGACUUUGCCAGAUACUGGAGGUCCUCCUGCAUGGACGAACCAAGACAUAGAAGACGGGAAAUCCCUGGAGGCAUCCCGACUUCUGGACAAGAUGUUGAGUGAUCUGGAGACACACCGUGGUGGGUGUAAUUCCCUCAGCAGCCAGGGCCUUUCUCUGCACAUCUGGACACGCCGUGCCCAGCACAGCAGGAAGGGAUCCAAAGCAGCCUCACUGCCCCGCUGCUGCUUUCACGGCCUGCAGGGCUGUUUCCCAGCCUGGCCUGGCUGUUCUCCCCAGCCUCUGCAGGAAGGCAUUUGGCAUCAGCUGACAGGGAGCCCAAACAGCAGCACUGGCCAUGCACACCCUGACACCCCCUGCAAUUUCCCGGUCUCGGGGUAAUUCAGGUGUAGGGGCUGUUUGGAGGAGGAAAGGUCCUGGCUAAUCCCAAACUUUGAUAUGAUUUCCUAAUCUUUAUCCAUGAUUUUGACCAUUAUUGCCUCAUGAUGAUGCCACCUCCCUGGAAGGAGAACAGUUCUGUCACAUCCAGCUGUGCCUCUUCCUUUCUCCAGAGAUGAAGAAAAUGGCUUUGCUGAAGGCGGUGUUUCCCGAAGGAAACACGGGACCAUGGGCAGCCUCUGGUGAAGGGAGGGAGGUCAUGCCAGGCACAGUCUCAGAGAGCAAUUGCUGUGCCCCUGGGCCUGAGCCCUGCUGAGGCUUGAGCUGCCAUCUCUGCUGCUUGGCAGUGCCUGCCCUUCAGGGAUGUUUCACAAAAAGGGUGUUGAGAGUGACCAGGAGGCAGCCCAGAGCUCCCUAGAGCCCUCUGCAGCUUUGGCCAUGUCCAUUGACAUCUGGCUCCCACAGCAUUACCCAAACCCCUUGCCGUGCCCAGAUCCCAAAGGCAGAAGUCGAUCUCAGCACACAUUGGAAUGGUUCUGAUCUGUGCUCCCUUCUAGAUGAGGGUGCUGAGACAGCUUCUCCAGCAGCUGGGAUGGAAGAUGGCUUGGAACCAUUAGGAGGUUCUGCAGGUAAGUUCUCAACUUCUGCUCAGAGCAUAAUCAUUAACAACCUGUCAAGAAACAGGUGACAGAAGCUUCUGUGGCUGUUGAGUUACAGGUGUGUCUGCAGAGAGGACUUUCCCAGCUACUUUCCUGAUUCCUGAACGCAAGCUCGGCUCCCAUCGCAGGGGUGAGUAGUGUGUCCCUGCUGAGCCCACAGGCUGAGCCCUGGUUUGUUGGACACAUUCAUGUGAAAUGGAAAUACUUUCUGUUAAGGUCCUCCUAGAGGGAGGAACAAGCCUACAGAAGAUAUCAAGUCCCUGGAGACAUCGGAAUACAUGGAUGUGAGGCUGAGUGAUCGGGACAGACGUCAUGGUGGGUGCAUUUCCCUCAGCAGCUGGGGCCUUUCUCUGCACAUCUGGACAUGGUGGCACAGGAAGAAGGGAUCCAUGUCAGCCUGGCUGCCCUGCUGCUGCUUUCAUGGCCUGCGGGGCUGUUUCCCCAGCCUGGCCUGGCUGCAGCUUCUCCCCAGCCUCUGCAGGAAGGCAUUUGGCAUCAGCUGUCAGGGAGCUCAAGCUGCACCUUGGCCAUGCACACUCUGAAAUCCCCUGCAAUUUCCCAGUCUCAGGGUAGAUCAAGAGGGGCAGCUUCAGGAGGAGGGAGAGUCUUGUGUGUGCCCAAAGAGCCGUGGACUUUUCCUGAUCAAGCAAUCAUGACCAAGACAUGGAUAUGUCUUUGACAAGUAUUACUCCCUGAAGAAGCCACUUCCCCGAUGGGCAGUAGAUCCAUCUGAUUCAGCUGUGCCUCUUCCUUUCUCCAGAGAUGGACCAGAAGUCUUUGCAGAAGGCAGAACUUCCUGCAGAAUGCAACAGCUUCAUUCCAGAUGCCUCUACAGAAAGGGAGGAGAUAGCAGACAGUGGCACAGAAGGUAUAUUGCUGUGCCAGGUUCAGCCAGGCUGAGCAGUCCUGCUGGGGCCCCUCCGUACGAGACGCAUCCCGAAACACCCUGGGAGCGGCUGCAUUGGGUGUCCAUGGUGGGGAAAGGGCAGAGGAGGAGGCCAAGGCUCCAGUGUGUCCUGACAGGGCCUGGCUCUGUCCCCUUGGGCUAGGGGAGCUGUCAAGUGGAAGGGAGGGUCAGGGGUGGCUGUGGCUGCUCAGGGAUGGCUUUGGCCCGUGUCCCUGGAAGGAGCCACUGCCCAAGUGGCUGCGCUGUCCCCGGGGUUCUGCUCCCGGCCUUCUGGGCUCUGUUGGGGGGCACAGCCUGUGCCAAGGGAUGGUAAGGUAGACAGAGAAUGUCCUGGCUGUAUCCAGCGUGCUGCCAGCUCAGCAGUGGAGCACAGCUUGGGCUCAAGGCUGCUCAUAGCUCUCACAGAUGUUAUCACUACAACAGGAAUCGAUAUUAAGGAUUCAGCGCCCAUCUCUGGAAUUGUCCGCCCGCAGGAUGUUCGGAAAACCUGCGUCGUAGACUCAGUUGUGACAGUUAUCACUGUGCAACUUGCAUUUAUAUGCUGUUUUUUUGGGAUCCGGAAAGUCUACAAGAUCAGACGGUAAUUUGUUGAUUUUUUUCCAGAGUUUUCUUAAAACUCUACACACAGCACUGGGAGCCUGACACAUAGGCAUGCUGCUGUGCACUUGUUUGUAGUCAAUGGUAGUCCACAGAAUUCUGCUGAGAGUUCUGCUGCUGCCCAGGCCUUUCAUUGGCCUCUGAAUUGCUGGGCCUUGUCCUGAGGAGCCCACUUGUACUGCAGCCAAUGCUGGCUCCCACAGGGGCUGCCUGGCCAAGAGCAGCCCCAGGAGCAGCGGGCAGAGGCAAAGCAAGGUGGGCAGGAGGAAGAGUGGGAACGAGAUUGCCCUUGAAAGGCAGAGGCGCUCUGGGGCCUGCUCCUGGCCAGGGACCCUGCCCAGAGCCAUCCCCUGCUCACUGGGGCCUUGAGGGGCAGCUCUCCAGCUGGGCCAAGCUGUGCCAGCAGCUGCAGCCAUGCUAGGGAGCCUUGGCCGCUCUGGGCCCUGCUGUUCAGGAGGGGACCUGUGUGCUAGUGGCAGCUGGAGGCCUCAGCCACCUCUUCUCUCCACAGGAACACCUCUGCAACUCCUGCAUCCUGGCGAAGAAUGUGCCACUCUCCCUCAUCCACAGGAAGCUUGGAGACUGUCUGGUUUUACUGUGCACCUAAACGGUCUCAGAAGCAGGAUUUGCCCUGUAAAGAAGAGCACCAGCACUCCCGGCCUCCCCCACAGUCCCCCAGCCCGGCUGUGAUCCCCAUUUCCCCUGAGAUCCCCCCACCUCCUCCCCUCCCAAGCCAGCCGCCCUGGUCCAGCUAGGACUGAAAGUGGGCCAGCCACGGUAGGCCUUGGGCCACCAAGAGCUUGGGGCAUCUGCUCUUGGCUACAUAUAACACUUGUUGCCUAUGGGUAACAACCAGAGGCAGUUUUCUUACUGUUUUUCAUUCAAUAGGAAGGGCUGAAUAUUCUUCCCAUGCCCUCCUCCUCGUUUGCUCUUUUGACUUUUAUGCUUCUAGGUGCUGGCUUAAUCUCUUAAUAGAGCCCUAUAACUUUGCAUGUUUUCCCCACCUACUAGGCCAAAAAAAAGAAAUAAAAACGUUUUCAAUUUAUAUUUCA
rnacentral:lncRNA from 1 species